rnacentral:rRNA from 1 species
CCCUUAGUUGUUCUGGGCCGCACGCGUGCUACACUGAGUGGAUCAGCGGGUCAGGUUGCGCGAAAGCGUUUCCUAAUCUUUAAAUCCGCUCGUGAUGGGGAUUGACGGUUGCAAUUUUCUGUCAUGAACGAGGAAUACCUUGUAAGCGCGGGUCAUCAUCCCGCGCUGAAUACGUCCCUGCCCUUUGUACACACCGCCCGUCGCUCCUACCGAUUGAGUGGUCCGGUGAGGCUUUGGGAUCUGAGCGGAAAGAGCGUUUCGCUGUUUCUGCUCGGAAAACUCAGUCGAACCUUAUCAUUUAGAGGAAGGAGAAGUCGUAACA